CUCAAAAGGGAGAUGGAGAAGCAGUUUGUUGACCUUCUAACAGAGGAGUUGAAAUUGCAAGAGGCUGUUGCAGAAGAACAUGCACACCACAUGAACGUAACUUUUGCUGAAGCGAAGCGGGUGGCUUCCCAGUACCAAAGAGAAGCUGAAAAAUGUAAUACUGCCACUGAAACAUGUGAAGAAGCUAGGGAGCAGGCUGAGGCAUUGCUUAUCAGGGAGAGGAAAGUUACUUCCUUAUGGGAGCAACGGGCCCGCCAACUUGGUUGGGAAGGAGAAUAAUUGUUUGUAAAAGUGAUGCAAAAUUUCCUUUCGGUAGAACUAGGGGAAUUAUGCCAAUUAUUUAUAUAGGAGGCAAGCAGAUUGCUUGUGUCAUCUAGCAAAGGCAAAAACUCUCACAAAUUGUUUGUGUUCUGAAGCCAAGCAAAUGAUACAUGUGUUCACAAUUUUUACUUGUAAUUGACAUGUUGUAGAUCUGUAAGCUCAAGCAGCAGUA
rnacentral:misc_RNA from 1 species